rnacentral:miRNA from 1 species
UGCAUUCUAUCCUUCAUUCCACCGGAGUCUGUGUCAUAAUCCAAUCAGAUUUCAGUGGUGUGAAGAAUAAGAAACA